rnacentral:rRNA from 1 species
AUUGAACGCUGGCGGAAUGCUUUACACAUGCAAGUCGAACGGUAGAGGGGGCAACCCCUCGAGAGUGGCGAACGGGUGAGUAAUAUAUCGGAACGUGCCCAGUCAUGGGGGAUAACGUAGCGAAAGUUACGCUAAUACCUCAUACGAUCUAAGGAUGAAAGCGGGGGAUCGCAAGACCUCGCGCGAUUGGAGCGGCCGAUAUCAGAUUAGGUAGUUGGUGGGGUAAAGGCUCACCAAGCCAAAGAUCUGUAGCUGGUCUGAGAGGACAACCGGCCACACUGGAACUGAGACACGGUACAGACUCCGAAGGGAGGCAGCAGUGGGGAAUUUUGGACAUUGGACGAAAGUCUGAUCCAGCCAGUCCGCGUGCAGGAUGAAGGCCCUCGGGUUGUAAACUGUUUUUGUACGGAACGAACUGGUCUCUCUUAAUACGGGGGACUCAUGACGGUACCGUAAGAAUAAGCACCGGCUAACUACGUGCCAGCCGCCGCCGUAA